AUGAACGCUAGCGGCGUGCCUAACACAUGCAAGUCGAACGAAGCACCUUACCUGAUUCUUCGGAUGAAAGUUUGGUGACUGAGUGGCGGACGGGUGAGUAACGCGUGGGUAACCUGCCCUGUACAGGGGGAUAACAGCUGGAAACGGCUGCUAAUACCGCAUAAGCGCACGAGGAGACAUCUCCUUGUGUGAAAAACUCCGGUGGUACAGGAUGGGCCCGCGUCUGAUUAGCUGGUUGGCAGGGUAACGGCCUACCAAGGCAACGAUCAGUAGCCGGUCUGAGAGGAUGAACGGCCACAUUGGAACUGAGACACGGUCCAAACUCCUACGGGAGGCAGCAGUGGGGAAUAUUGCACAAUGGGGGAAACCCUGAUGCAGCAACGCCGCGUGAGUGAAGAAGUAUUUCGGUAUGUAAAGCUCUAUCAGCAGGGAAGAUAAUGACGGUACCUGACUAAGAAGCUCCGGCUAAAUACGUG
rnacentral:rRNA from 1 species